rnacentral:rRNA from 1 species
GACGUAGGGCGCGAGCGUUGUCCGGAUUUAUUGGGCGUAAAGAGCUCGUAGGCGGCUUGUUGCGUCGUCCGUGAAAACCUGUGGCUCAACCACAGGCUUGCGGUCGAUACGGGCGGGCUGGAGUUCGGUAGGGGAGACUGGAAUUCCUGGUGUAGCGGUGAAAUGCGCAGAUAUCAGGAGGAACACCGGUGGCGAAGGCGGGUCUCUGGGCCGAUACUGACGCUGAGGAGCGAAAGCGUGGGGAGCGAACAGG